rnacentral:lncRNA from 1 species
GUGCCAUGACAAACGAGAUGUCCAUGUCCUCUCCACUGUCCAUACAGCAACCAUGUCAGCCACAGGGAAGGUGGACCACCUGACGGGAGAGAGAAACAUCAAACCAGACUGUGUGCUUGACUAUAACCUCAAAAUGUGGGCAGUAUAUAAGGGGGACAUGAUAAGCAGCUUUGUGGAAAGCACUCAGAAAACGACCAAGUGGAAUAAGAAGACAAUCACGGACUACAACGGGAAAACCAGCCAAGUCGCAGACACCAACUUUUUGCUUCUGGACUAGCUACACUCCUUCUUCACCCGCUUUGAGGAUAACACAGUGCCACAGAAGCAGCCAACUACCAAGGCCCUCCUUUGCCGUGGCCGACUCUGCUGUCCCCACUUUCUUCAAGAUGACCACCAUUGUUCCUGUAACCUAGAAAGCAAAGAACCACAGACGAUGCCAUCGCCAUCGCACUGC